rnacentral:tRNA from 2 species
GCCGGAAUAGCUCANUUGGUAGAGCAGAGGACUGAAAAUCCUCGUGUCAC